UCCUGGCCAGGGAGGUCAUCCACUCGUAGGUAACCCACGUUGCCCUCAAGAACCUCAUGGUGGAUGUUCCUCUGUAGCUGGACCAACAGUUCUUCUCGGGUGAGGUUGGUGCAAUAUAGGUCCCCUCACAAGUGUGCAACAAGAUGAACGGAAUGUCUGGAUUUCAGUACAUGGUAUGACAGAACACGCUGGCCGGGCUCAGUGAAGAGCAGAGAGCCCCACGGCGUCACAGCCAGAGAUGGUGGUCUCUGGGAUGAGGACGAGAGAGCUUACCUUGCAAGCUGGAAACCCGCAAGCCAGUUUCUGGAAAUCAUUAUCUGAAGAUGUUUACCAAGUGCUUUACAAAGGCCAGAGAGCCAAUGGACACGAGGCAGAUUUGCUGUGAGAAUCAGCCUGGGGUGGGAAGCCGCAGGCACACACGAGGCCUCUCUGGGGGACUGAGUCUUUUCAACCUCCACCUGGGAAGCCUCAACUCCAAGCAUUCUGUCAGAGUUCCUCUGAGGAAUCAUCCCUAGGACCUGGAGAAGACAUCACCAACCGAUCACCAUUUGUGAACAGCGCUGCCACGCCAUGCUGCCCGGCAUGUCUCAGGAAUGUAUCUUUUCUUCAACUGUACCAAUAAAGAAUAAUACUUCACUGUA